ensembl:lncRNA uncharacterized LOC107557165
AAUGGAUCUAAGUAAAGUCAUUUACAAAUGUGUUCGCUGCAGCUCGGUAUACACAACUUGAAGUUGUUGAAGAUAUUAGAGGACAUGUUUGUCCAAUCCCUUUGGAACAGGCUAGUGCAUCGAAUGGGCCUAGUCAACUUCCACUAGGCCUACACAUUCCCGCUGCACCACUGCAUUUGCCUCCGGCUCCUGCACUACAGAAGUUAGCUCCUGCACCACUUAAUUUGCCUCCGGCUCCUGCACCACAGAAGUUGGCUCCUGCACCACUUAAUUUGUCUGUUGCUGGACCAUCACCUGCCUGUGCUCCAAAGUGGGCACCAUUCUCAACCCCCCAACAAAUGCAUAAAGAUACAAAACAAUAGUGGACAGUAAAAAGAAGACUGGGAGUGGUACCAGCAGCUGGGUCUUUUUCUCAUCAAUGGAGGACCUCCUGGCUGAUGAUCCCAGUGUGGAGCCGGUCCUGAUCGUGUCAUCUUUUGCUGGAUCUUCAUCAGAUCCAGUUGGCCCAGGACCAUCAACUUCACAAUCAUCAACUUCACAACCAUCAUCUUCACAACCAUCAUCUUCACAACCUAAGCCAUCAGCAGAACAUGGCAAAAAGAGAAGGCGCAUGUCUGAAGCAUCCGAGUGGUUUGAUCAGUAUGUCACUGAGCAGAGGAGGCAGAUGUCAGAACUCAUGGCCCUGCAAAAGCAAGCAGUAGAAGUGGCAAGCGAACGUAACAACAUCUUAAAAUAAUUUGUUUCUGCUUUUCUGCAAGAGGAAAUUGUGUAGAACACAUGCAGCUGUUAUAACCACUGGUACUUUUUAAGGUCUUCCAUGAUCAAAUAAUUCAGUCGUCUCCAUUUCCCCUUUAGAAGGCCAAAUGCCCUUUCAAUCACAACUCUGGUUGAGCUGUGGAGUGUGUUAAAUUUUUUUUGCCUUCAUGAUAAGUGCCCAUUAUCUCAGUAUGGUGUAAUGAGAGAUGUGCUGAGUGGGUAUGCGGAGUCUCCAAGCAGGUGGUAGUCACUUCUUAUUACAUCCUGGAGAUGGCCAUAUAAUGGGCAGUUCUGAAACACCCUAGCAUCGUGCACAGACCCCGGCCAACCAGUGUACACAUCCAGGAACAUCAUCUGUGAUGUACACACUGCUUGGUGUUGAAUACUUGCAUGUCCUUUCCUGUUUAUGUAACUGUUUCUAUGGAGUGUGGGUGCUGGGAUGGCAAUGUGUGUGCCAUUGAUUGCUCCAAUGACUCCAGGGAAGCCAGUUUUUUCCUGAAAGCCAUUUGCCAGGUUUGCAAACUCAUCCUCUCUGGGCCAUAGAAUGUAUUCAUUUCUCAGUGUACAAAUGACCUUGCAAAUGUCGGAAAAAAUAUAAUGAAGGGUUCCUUUUGACAUAUAAAACCGGUCUGCAAUACCCCUGAAGCUCUCUUGGUUUGCCAACAACCAAAUAGUUUAUACUAAAUCAUUUUCGGGGUGUCCAAGGUUAGGUUUGCCAGUAAAGGACCAACUUUCUCACAGAGAGCCUGUAGACAUUUAUAGUAGAAGUUUCUACAUCCCUAUGAUGCUGUAAAUAAGCUGACACAAAUCUUGCUAUGGCUGUUGUAUACACACUGAUGCACAUACUGCUAUAUACAAUUGGGAAUUUGUAAGUAAAUGUAAUUGACAUCAAAAUAAAUGCACA